rnacentral:rRNA from 1 species
UACGAAGGGGGCGAGCGUUGUUCGGAUUUACUGGGCGUAAAGGGCGCGUAGGCGGCGUGACAAGUCACUUGUGAAAUCUCCGGGCUUAACCCGGAGCGGCCAAGUGAUACUGUCGUGCUAGAGUGCGGAAGGGGCUACUGGAAUUCUCGGUGUAGCGGUGAAAUGCGUAGAUAUCGAGAGGAACACCUGCGGCGAAGGCGGGUAGCUGGGCCGACACUGACGCUGAGGCGCGAAAGCCAGGGGAGCGAACGGG